rnacentral:rRNA from 1 species
GGAAUAUUGCACAAUGGGGGGAACCCUGAUGCAGCGACGCCGCGUGAGGGAAGAAGGUUUUUGGAUUGUAAACCUCUGUCCUUGGUAAAGAAGAAAGACGGUAGCCAAGGAGGAAGCGACGGCUAACUACGUGCCAGCAGCCGCAGUAAUAGGUAGGUGGCGAGCGUUGUCCGGAAUUACUGGGUGCAAAGGGAGCGUAGGCGGUUAUGCAAGUUGAAUGUGAAAUCUAUCGGCUCAACUGAUAGGCUGCGUUCAAAACUGUAUAUCUUGAGUGAAGUAGAGGCAGGCGGAAUUCCUAGUGUAGCGGUGAAAUGCGUAGAUAUUAGGAGGAACACCAGUUGCGAAGGCGGCUCUCUGGACUGUAACUGACGCUGAGGCACGAAAGCGUGGGGAGCAAACA